rnacentral:rRNA from 1 species
UGCAAGUCGACGGUAACGCGGAGAGCUUGCUCUCUGGCGACGAGUGGCGGACGGGUGAGUAACGCGUAGAAAUCUGCCUAGUAGUGGGGGACAACCUGGAGAAAUCCAGGCUAAUACCGCAUACGCCCUACGGGGGAAAGCGGGGGAUCUUCGGACCUCGCGCUAUUAGAUGAGUCUGCGUCGGAUUAGCUAGUUGGUGAGGUAAAGGCUCACCAAGGCGACGAUCCGUAGCUGGUCUGAGAGGAUGAUCAGCCACACCGGGACUGAGACACGGCCCGGACUCCUACGGGAGGCAGCAGUGGGGAAUAUUGGACAAUGGGGGAAACCCUGAUCCAGCAAUGCCGCGUGUGUGAAGAAGGCCUGCGGGUUGUAAAGCACUUUCAAUUGGGAAGAAAAGCAGUCGGUUAAUAACCGGCUGUCUUGACGUUACCUUUACAAGAAGCACCGGCUAACUCCGUGCCAGCAGCCGCGGUAAUACG